CAGGAGGUCAGGCAGCAACAUUGCUUGGCUGUAGGGCUGCUGUGAAUGGCUGGAGGAAGGUGCUAGAUGUCCCCAGGUAUCAGCCUUACCAACUCGAAGGUUUCCAUCAUCACCUCACUUCAGCUUCCCAGGUCCUGCAGCUGCACAUGGGGGAGAGGCCACAGUUGGCAGCCAGGAUGCAAUCUCAGGGUUGCUGCUGCCCACAGCCAGGGCCCUAUGGAUGUGCUGGCUUUGCCAGAAAAGAACCCAGAACUGCAUCGUCCUUCUGGAACGGCUGGUGAUAGCAUCAGAGGAUUGUCUGGUGGAUACAUGAGUCUGGUGGGCAGAGGACAUGGCCCACAAGGAGGCGUGGGAUUGGUGCAAGAAGGUGCAGGACCAGAUGGAUUAGGAAUUCCAGGCUCAGCUCCUGGCCUAGGAGCACGAACAAGUAGAGACCCUGCGGGAGCAGAACAUGGCUCUGAGCAAGGCAGUACAGGCCACAAUGACCACUGGGUGCUGGACACCAUCCAGGCCCUGGUGGCUGCCUUCAUGCUGCCUGAUGCCCAGGCCCUGAGCCUAGCCCAACUUGCCCCCUAGCAGCUACCCCUGCUCAGCAACAGGUCCCCCGAUGGGCCUGGGAAGAGGUCCAGUGCUAUCUCCACCAGCCAGGAGUUCCCUCCCCAGGGUACAGGUCUGACCUAGGCACCAGUUAAAGUGGGCCUGGCAGGGGUCCAGCUGGCCUGUGUGGGACUGCAUUAGCCAGGGAAGCAGUGGGUAGAUGGGGUCCCUGAUGAGAAGGGGUGGGACCACCACAGCUGCGGGUCCGAUGCCCCCAGCAUGAAGCAGCUGCUCUCCACCAGGACUGGCCACAGGACCUAAAGUGUCCUACCAAUCUAGGUGUAGCAGGAGCAGCUCUAGGAGAUCCCAGAAGGUGGCCCAAAUCAUCUGGAAUGCCUCCAGCCACUGCUUCUCAUCCCAGGUGGUUUGGACAAUGUGCAGCCACCAGCCCUGUCUGGCUCAGCAGGCCCAGAGGCAGCAGGGCUGGAGAUCCAGGAGGGCAAAGGCAGCCCUGGUGGUGGCAUCCAGCAGCCCAUCGUCGGCAUCCCUGCUGGGGUCUAGCCAGUUCACAGGGUCCAGGUGGCAGCUACACAGUGGUGGCAGUGGUGGCCCUGGUGUGCUGCAGCCAGGCAAGUGGUUGCUGUACUUAGGGGAGCUGGGAGAGCUCAGAUGAACACGGGCCAGCUGGCAGUUAAUGAGGUGGGCCAGCAGAGCCAGUGCUGUAGCCAGCAGGAGCCUGGGAUGCUGGUUGUCAUUGCCAGGGGCAGGAGCUGAAGCAGCCAUAGUAUGGGGAGGCAGAGGCAGCAAGGAGAGAGCUGUUAUGUACUGCCCCUGUGCUGUGCACAUUGCUUCUGGCCAGGGAAGUGGCUGGCCAGGGAGCAGAGAACAGGACUGGCUUUACAAGAUGGCUGCUGGCAGCUGCAGCUGGAGCCUCAAGCUCCCUCCAGUGGCAGCAGGGACCCAUUGCAGGGCCACAGGAACUGGCACCAGUUGGCUGCUAAGAGCAGCAAAUCUGCUGCCAUGUCCCUGCAUAUGUAGAUGCCUGCCUGGAAGCAUCUUGCAAGUAAACUGAUCUCGGAACAAAUACGUGUGUGGACAUGCCAGAUAUGUGUCAGUGGCUGAGUAAACCUUAAAAAUGUACUUCAAGAUGCGUUAUCAGAAAAGUAGUCAGAACAAUUCUAAUCCACUACCAUAUGAUCCUUAAAAACAAUUAUUUAAGAUAUCAGAUCACAAUUGCUUUAGAUUCCCUUUGACCCAGUUAUGCCCCAGUAAUACAGUUAUGUUGCUGUGAUGAGAUUACCAAAGCAAUCAGGUAACACUCUGAAUGCUGAAAUUAUACCAACUUCACUGUGGCUUGAUGAUGUUAAAUUAUGUUUUAUGCAAUUCAAUAGAAGGCGGUUUCCUCAAGAUAUCCAAGGAGAUAGCUACUAAUUAAAUCCUAUCUGUGGUAAAAAUGUUUUAUACAUGCUGUGUCUUACCAUAUCUUAGACAAUGCUACUAGAAGUCCUGCUUGCAACCGAUAUAAUGUGCAUGAAUAAGCACAUAUAUUAAGCAUACAAAUUUGUGUCUUCACCUCCAACAUGGAAAUACGUGGGAGAUGAAAAGGGUUCUUCUGUGCAGCAUACUUCCCUUGAGAGCCGUCCGAGAAUUCUUUGUGCCUUUUCAGAAAAAGGGGUGUGCCCUGACAAGAAGUAAAACAAACAGAAGCAUUAGCCACAGGGCAGAUAGACCAUAACUGCUUUGUAAUGCUCUGGUGGAGUGGGCCAUGGAGUUGAUGGCAUGCCAGUAGCAUAGCACAUGGGAAGAGACAAAGCCAGACUACUAAAGUUUUCUCACCAAUCUCAGCUACCAAUUAUAGCCACUUGUGGGAGCAGUUGGGCACAACUCAGAGCAUCUCUGAAGAGGUGUUAAUUGUUUUGGUCCCAGGAACAAGGAUGUAUUAAA